rnacentral:tRNA from 1 species
GGGUGUAGCUCAAUGGUAGAGUGCUUCCCUAGUAUGUGUGAGGUCCUGGGUUUGAUCCCCAGCAUCACA